ACCCUCCCCCAUAAUCGCCAACAAGACAGCACAUCCUGUGGUGUCCUGGCCUUAAAAUUUGAAACCUCACAGAAGGCAGUGCACGAGCUGAGGCUGGACAUUGCUACUUCUCUCCUCAGAGAAUCUGAUGAUCUAAGCAGGCUUU